rnacentral:rRNA from 1 species
UUUGGCUUAGCUAAAUCGGAUUGUAAACUGUAGAAGUGUUUUCCAGACACGCCUGGUAAAAAAGUCCUUUGGAACAGGGCAUCAUAGAGGGUGAGAAUCCCGUCAUUGGCCAGAGCUGUUGUCUUUUGUGAUACAUUUUCAAAGAGUCAGGUUGUUUGGGAAUGCAGCCUAAAUUGGGUGGUAAAUCUCACCUAAAGCUAAAUAUUUGCGAGAGACCGAUAGCGAACAAGUACCGUGAGGGAAAGAUGAAAAGAACUUUGAAAAGAGAGUUAAACAGUAUGUGAAAUUGUUAAAAGGGAACCGUUUGGAGCCAGACUGGCUUAAUCGUAAUCAAUCUAGGCUUUGGCCUGGAUGCACUUGCGGUUUAUGCCGGCCAACGACAGUUUUGUUUGGGAGAAAAAAUUACAUUGAAUGUGGCCCCUCGGGGUGUUAUAGCUUUGUAAAAAAUAUCCUGGACUGGACUGAGGAACGCAGUGAAUGCCUUUAGGCAAGAUUGCUGGGUGCUUUCGCUAAUACAUGCUAGAAUUUCUGCUUCGGGUGGUGCUAGUGUUUAAAGGAGGAACU